rnacentral:rRNA from 1 species
AGAGACAGCAGCCGCCGCGGUAAUACGUAGGUGGUGAGCGUUGUCCGGAAUUAUUGGGCGUAAAGGGAGCGCAGGCGGACAUAUAAGUCCAUCUUAAAAGUGCGAGGCUCAACCCCGUGAGGGGAUGGAAACUGUAUGCCUUGAGUGCAGGAGAGGAAAGCGGAAUUCCCAGUGUAGCGGUGAAAUGCGUAGAUAUUGGGAGGAAUACCAGUGGCGAAGGCGGCUUUCUGGACUGUAACUGACGCUGAGGCUCGAAAGCCAGGGGAGCGAACGGGAUUAGAUACCCGCGUAGUCCCUGUCUCUUAUACA